GCUAUCUCUCAUGAGUCCCAGUUUCCUGUAUGGCUUACUGGCUUAGUGAUGGCAGAAACAUAGAAGGAAAAUUUCAAUGCAAUUCCCUCAGUGAAAUAUUUUAUCCUUUUUACUUAAGAAAUAUAAAAUGGCUUGAAAAAUUUAUGCAUUUAUUUAGUAUUUACUGAUAGUUUGAUCUCUGAUCUUCCCUCGUCAAUUUAGAGUUUUGUAUCUGAUUAUUGAUCACAGUACACACGUGUAUAACUUAUGUAAACUUAUGCAUGUAAAGAUGGUUAUAACUUAUAUAGAACUAUUUAUAUAAUUAGAGGGGGUUCUUUUUAAUUAAUUGUUUAUAGGUUUGAACAAAUGCUGGUGUACGCAAGCGAUGGAGGUUUAUGUGUAUUAUUUAUUUGUUACGAUUUCAGGCAUUGUUAGUGGCUGAUUUUGGGCCGAGGACUACCAUAAAUAUCGUGGAGGGUUUACGGGAAGAUAUAUACUCUGGGAAGCUCAAAUCUGGGAGUGAGAUCAAGGUAAUUAUUCUAAUGUGUUCAUCUGUGCAAUAACUUAUGCCCCACG
rnacentral:lncRNA from 1 species